rnacentral:tRNA from 1 species
GGUGGCUCAGUGGUAGAGCGCCUGCCUUGCAUGCAUGAGGCCCUGGGUUCCAUUCCUCAGUACCA